rnacentral:misc_RNA from 1 species
CAGACUGCAUACAAGUUAUCUCCUACAGAUCCACAGAUUCGACGCACACAACCACCCUUUUCUUUCAUUCGCAAGUCCCAUAUUGUCAGCUGGCAACCUUCUGCAACUGCUAAUACAGAAUUUCCACCACCUAAGUCCAAAUUUUGCAUGAACAUAAGUGAAGAUGGAUGCCACAAUGGACGUAAGGUGCGGACAUGAAUAUCUUGGUCAUAGACAUCAAUGGUUUUAGAGAAACUGUGAGCCACAGCUGCCUGAGGGAAAAGGCCAGAAAUACUGAAAUUCAGGCAGAAGGCAAGAAAUAUGCCACAAAUGAAACACUUACACUUUCCAAGACACGCGCGCGCGCAGAGAGGAUGUUAAAAAGGGAAAAAAAUG